UCAAGAAUAUUCCUCAAUGGCCGAAAGGCUGAAGGAGCGACGCCGCGUGUAGGAUGAAGGUCUUCGGAUUGUAAACUACUUUUACAUGGGAAGAAUUUGUGACGGUACCAUGUGAAUAAGAGGUUGCUAACUCUGUGCCAGCAGCAGCGGUAAUACAGAGACCUCAAGCGUUAUCCGGAUUUAUUGGGCGUAAAGCGUCCGCAGGUGGCUCAGCGGGUCAGGGGUUAAAACUUACUGCUCAACGGUAAGACUGCUCCUGAAACUACUAAGCUAGAGUAUGGAAGAGGUGAGCGGAAUUCUCGGUGUAGUCGUAAUAAGCGUUGAUAUCGAGAAGAACACCAAAUGCGAAGGCAGCUCACUGGUACAUUACUGACACUCAGGGACGAAAGCGUGGGGAGCAAACAGG
rnacentral:rRNA from 1 species